CACGGGGGAACCCCAGGUCAAAAGGGGCAUGAUGAUUUGACGUCCUCCCCACCUUCCCCCGGUUUGCCCCCGGCAGUUUUGCAAAAGGGCCCAACUGAAGGGGGGCAACAAAAAAUAAGGGUUGCGCUCGUUGGGGGAUUAAACCCAAAUUUUCCCGACCCGAGGUGACAAAACCCAUGCACCCCCCUGGUCACUUGGCCCCCAAGGGGGAAGCUUUUUUC
rnacentral:rRNA from 1 species